UUGCAGAUUUGUAUAUUUUGUAACAUUUUUUGUGAUUACAACACGUCAAAAGAAUGAGAAAGGCAUUUUCUUGAUUCUUUAUGACCACUCAACUUUUGAAAAAUCAUAAGAGGCGGUGAGAACUUUAGGUCAUUCGUGGAAAUCGAGUCACUCUUCCCAUUAGGAUUAGAUAAACACAUCUCUUCCUCUUUUCUGUUAUUCAUCAUCCCAAUUUUCAGAUCUCAAAAAGAACUCUUACAAUAUUGCAAGAGAUAGAUUCAUAUGGAUGAUCCUCAGGUUCCUCCAGUUCAUAUAGAUGAUCCUCAGUUCAUACUAUGUGAAAUUUUCCAUUUGGAGCAAGAAAAGUUGUCAGCCUUUACCAGGAAUAUCCCAGCUAUGCCUCUACGAAUCGUAGCUCACACUGCUUCGUCGAAGAUCCGAUGGCAAGAAUGGAGCUGUACUUUAGUCCACAUGAGAACGGAGAAUAUACUACUUGUGAACCAUUGAUCAUAUGUCUAUGUGUGUGACUCGCAUAGUGUGAGUAUGUUCCACCAUUAUUUCAUUAAUAAAAUUUUUGGUUAUAGCCACAGAAAUUACCACAAAAUUUUUGUAGCAAUUUUGAAAGCCACAAAAAAAACCAUGAAAAGUCACAAUGUGAAAAAUCUAAA